CCUACGGGAGGCAGCAGUGGGGAAUAUUGGGCAAUGGAGGAAACUCUGACCCAGCAACGCCGCGUGAAGGAUGAAGGUUUUCGGAUUGUAAACUUCUGUCGCGAGGGAUGAAGAAUGACGGUACCUCGUAAGAAAGCCCCGGCAAACUCUGUGCCAGCAGCCGCGGUAAUACAGAGGUCUCAAGCGUUGUUCGGAAUCACUGGGCGUAAAGCGUGCGUAGGCGGUUGUACAAGUUAGAAGUGAAAUACCCAGGGCUUAACUCGGGUGCUGCUUCUAAAACUGUAUGACUUGAGUGCAGUAGAGGUUAGUGGAAUUCCUAGUGUAGCGGUGGAAUGCGUAGAUAUUAGGAGGAACACCAGAGGCGAAGGCGGCUAACUGGACUGCAACUGACGCUGAGGCACGAAAGUGUGGGGAGCAAACAGGAUUAGAUACCCGAGUAGUC
rnacentral:rRNA from 1 species